rnacentral:rRNA from 1 species
CCCUUAGAGUUUGAUCCUGGCUCAGAUUGAACGCUGGCGGCAGGCCUAACACAUGCAAGUCGAGCGGUAGCACAGAGAGCUUGCUCUCGGGUGACGAGCGGCGGACGGGUGAGUAAUGUCUGGGAAACUGCCUGAUGGAGGGGGAUAACUACUGGAAACGGUAGCUAAUACCGCAUAAUGUCGCAAGACCAAAGUGGGGGACCUUCGGGCCUCAUGCCAUCAGAUGUGCCCAGAUGGGAUUAGCUAGUAGGUGGGGUAACGGCUCACCUAGGCGACGAUCCCUAGCUGGUCUGAGAGGAUGACCAGCCACACUGGAACUGAGACACGGUCCAGACUCCUACGGGAGGCAGCAGUGGGGAAUAUUGCACAAUGGGCGCAAGCCUGAUGCAGCCAUGCCGCGUGUGUGAAGAAGGCCUUCGGGUUGUAAAGCACUUUCAGCGGGGAGGAAGGCGAUAAGGUUAAUAACCUUGUCGAU